GACGAACGCUGGCGGCGUGCUUAACACAUGCAAGUCGAACGUAAAGGCCCUGCUUUUGUGGGGUGCUCGAGUGGCGAACGGGUGAGUAACACGUGAGUAACCUGCCCUUGACUUUGGGAUAACUUCAGGAAACUGGGGCUAAUACCGGAUAGGAGCUCCUGCUGCAUGGUGGGGGUUGGAAAGUUUCGGCGGUUGGGGAUGGACUCGCGGCUUAUCAGCUUGUUGGUGGGGUAGUGGCUUACCAAGGCUUUGACGGGUAGCCGGCCUGAGAGGGGGACCGGCGAAAUUGGGACUGAGAGACGGGCCAGACUGCGAAGGGAGGCAGCAGGGGGGAAUAUUGCACAAGGGGCGGAAGCCGGAUGCAGAAACGCGGCGUGCGGGAUGACGGCCUUCGGGGUGGAAACCGCUUUCGCCUGUGACGAAGCGGGAGUGACGGUAAUGGGUAAAGAAGCACCGGCUAACUACGUG
rnacentral:rRNA from 1 species